UACAGAGGGGGCAAGCGUUGUUCGGAAUUACUGGGCGUAAAGGGCGCGUAGGCGGCCUUCUAAGUCGAACGUGAAAUCCCCGGGCUCAACCCGGGAACUGCGUCCGAUACUGGAAGGCUUGAAUCCGGGAGAGGGAUGCGGAAUUCCGGGUGUAGCGGUGAAAUGCGUAGAUAUCUGGAGGAACACCGGUGGCGAAGGCGGCAUCCUGGACCGGCAUUGACGCUGAGGCGCGAAAGCCAGGGGAGCAAACGGG
rnacentral:rRNA from 1 species